rnacentral:rRNA from 1 species
UACGGGGGGGGCAAGCGUUGUUCGGAAUUACUGGGCGUAAAGCGUGCGUAGACGGUUACGUAAGUCGGAUGUGAAAGCCCCGGGCUCAACCUGGGAAUUGCAUUCGAGACUGCGUAGCUAGGAUGCGGAAGAGGGAAGCGGAAUUUCCGGUGUAGCGGUGAAAUGCGUAGAUAUCGGAAGGAACAUCAGUGGCGAAAGCGACUUCCUGGACCAAUACUGACGCUCAUGUGCGAAAGCGUGGGGAGCAAACAGG